rnacentral:SRP_RNA from 1 species
GGAGGCCGGCUGAGGACGGUCGGCUCGCGAACCCGGUCAGGUCCGGAAGGAAGCAGCCGCAACGAGUUUCGCCCGGGUCACAUGUCCGGUCUCCCAC